rnacentral:rRNA from 1 species
ACAAGCAGUGGGAGCCCCACCACCAAAGCAUUUUCUGGUGUUGAGGACAACUUUGAAGUGACAUUCAACACGCGUUGGCGGAGCGUUUUUUGCGACGCCCAACACACAAAACAAGCAGUGAAUGUGCUUUGGGGUGGGGUGACUGCGUACCUUUUGUAUAAUGGGUCAGCGACUUAUAUUCUGUAGCAAGGUUAACCGUAUAGGGGAGCCGUAGGGAA